AUGAUAUCCUCAUCGGCAACAUCCUGUUUUGUUUUCUAUAUAAAUAUAUGCAUUCAGGUUAAACAAAACAACAAAAUAAAAGGAUUACUAGAAUGUGCGUAUCAUGGCCAGUCCCAAGAAGUAAAGGCAGCGACGCUGCUCCACAAGGCAAUGGAAUAUGAGACAGACAACAACGGAGGAAUUCUCUCCGAUGAAGAGAAAACCAUCAACGUCAAUGCUUUGUUCUGCGACGUUUACUUGGCGUCAUACAAACACAAUUUCAGUUUUGCCUCCAUAAAAGUUAGGGAUUUGGAUUAA